UACGAAGGGGGCUAGCGUUGCUCGGAAUUACUGGGCGUAAAGCGCACGUAGGCGGCUUUCUAAGUCAGGGGUGAAAUCCCAGGGCUCAACCCUGGAACUGCCUUUGAUACUGUCGAUCUGGAGUAUGGAAGAGGUGAGUGGAAUUCCGAGUGUAGAGGUGAAAUUCGUAGAUAUUCGGAGGAACACCAGUGGCGAAGGCGGCAUCCUGGACCAUUACUGACGCUGAGGCGCGAAAGCUAGGGGAGUAAACGGG
rnacentral:rRNA from 1 species